AAUAUUGGACAAUGGGGGUAACCCUAACCCCGCCUUGCCGCGUGUGUGAAGAAGAUCUUCGAAUUCUAAAGCACGUUUCGUUGGAAGGAAUGGCCUUAGGCUAACACGCUGAAGUUUUUACUUUACCACCAGUAUCGGCACCGCCUAACUCUGUACCAGCAGCCCCGGUAAUACAGAGGGUGCAAGCGUUAAUCGGAAUUACUGGGCGUAAAGCGCGCGUAGGUGGUUCAGUAAGAUGGGGGUGAAAUCCCGGGGCUUAAACUGGGAACUGCUUUCAAAACUGCGGGGCUAGAGUACGGUAGAGGGUAGUGGACUGUCCUGUGUAGCGGUGAAAUGCGUAGAUAUAGGAAGGAACACCAGUGGCGAAGGCGACUACCUGGCCUGAUACUGACACUGAGGUGCGAAAGCGUGGGGAGCAAACA
rnacentral:rRNA from 1 species